GAUGAACGUUGGCGGUGUGCCUAAUACAUGCAAGUCGAACGGAGUUAAUAGCAAUAUUGACUUAGUGGCGAACGGGUGAGUAACGCGUUGGUGAUCUGCCUCGAAGUGUGGAAUAACGUUCCGAAAGGAACGCUAAUACCGCAUGUGCUCUCGAUUUUUAGAAACUUGAGAGUAAAGGAUUUAUUCGCUUCGAGAGGAGCCUGCGUCCCAUCAGCUGGUUGGUAGGGUAACGGCCUACCAAGGCUAUGACGGGUAGGGGACCUGAGAGGGUGGCCCCCCACAAUGGAACUGAAACACGGUCCAUACACCUACGGGUGGCAGCAGUAGGGAAUAUUAGAAAUGGACGAAAGUCUGAUCUAGCAACACCGCGUGUGCGAAGAAGGCCUUCGGGUCGUAAAGCACUUUUUGGAAGGAAUAGGAAGGAAUGUACUUCCAGAAUAAGUCUCGGCUAACUACGUGCCAGCAGCCGCGGUAACACGUAGGAGGCAAACGUUAUCCGGAUUUACUGGGCGUAAAGCGCGUGUAGGUGGUACUGUAAGUAGGGCGUGAAAGCUCCCGGCUCAACUGGGAGAGGCCGUUCUAAACUGCAGAACUAGAGGAUGGUAGAGGGAGGUGGAAUUCCAGGUGUAGCGGUGGAAUGCGCAGAUAUCUGGAGGAACACCAGUGGCGAAGGCGGCCUCCUGGACCAUUCCUGACACUCAGACGCGAAAGCUAGGGUAGCAAACG
rnacentral:rRNA from 1 species